UACGUAGGGUGCAAGCGUUAAUCGGAAUUACUGGGCGUAAAGCGUGCGCAGGCGGUUAUGUAAGACAGGUGUGAAAUCCCCGGGCUUAACCCUGGGAACUGCAUCCGAUACUGGAUGGCUUGAAUCCGGGAGAGGGAUGCGGAAUUCCAGGUGUAGCGGUGAAAUGCGCAGAUAUCAGGAAGAACACCCGUGGCUAAGGCGGCUCCCUAGUACGGUAGCUGACGCUGAGACGCGAAAGCGUGGGGAGCGAACAGG
rnacentral:rRNA from 1 species